rnacentral:rRNA from 1 species
AAACUUAAAUGAAUUGACGGGGCCCGCACAAGCGGUGGAGCAUGUGGCUCAAUUCGAUGCAACGCGAAGAACCUUACCAGGCCUUGACAUGCACUAGACAGACUCUGAAAGGAGUCCCUCCCUUCGGGGCUGGUGCACAGGUGCUGCAUGGCUGUCGUCAGCUCGUGUCGUGAGAUGUUGCGUUAAGUCGCGCAACGAGCGCAACCCCUGUCCUUAGUUGCCAUCAUUAAGUUGGGUACUCUAGGGAGACAAACCCUCUCUGAGGGUGGGAAGGUGGGGAUGACGUCAAGUCAGGAUGGCCCUUACGGCCUGGGCUGCACACGUGCUACAAUGCCCGAUACAGAGGGAAGCAAUACCGCGAGGUGGAGCAAAUCCUCAAAAUCGGGCCCAGUUCAGAUUGUAGUCUGCAACUCGACUACAUGAAGUUGGAAUCGCUAGUAAUGGCGCAUCAGCUACGGCGCCGUGAAUACGUUCCCGGGCCUU